rnacentral:misc_RNA from 1 species
GACAUUUCCUGAGUCGUCUUCGAACGGACAAGGCUGUAUCUUGCUCGGUGAUUUAUAGUCUUGUGUGUAGUUGUGCAACUUUCUUCCAUUGUUCUACAAGAAACACGAGCCAGAUACAGUCUCACCGUUUGAGAUGGCAUUGGAACGGGCGGAGGAACUUGCUGUUUGCAGCGAUGCUGGGCGUACCGCAGAAUUGGGGACCCCAUGUUCUAGUCUCUACACCUUUCAUUGGUUUGUCCAGCAUACUACAUAAAAUUCUGUCGAACGCAAGAGUGUCCCGCACGUGUGUCCAGGCUGUUGGUCGUCAUCGGCGACACUAUUUGGCCUGUCUAUAUAUGAGAUAAGGAAUGGUGAGAGGAUUGGUAUGGGAUGAACAAAGGGGCAAAAUCUUUGUUUUUAGAAAUUUGCACACCACGAUCAAGUCGUACAUAAACGUCUUCUCAUGUUCGCGCUUCCGUAUCUUGAACAUCUGAGCAUCGACUAAUUCAAAAAUCAAUGUGAUGCGUGAUAUACAUAGGCUUACUGUGACAUACUGCAGCAACCUCGAGCAAGUUCUAUUUUGGAAUACCCAAUUUCGUAAUCAUGGUGUACAACUAAACAACUACAAGCAGUUAUUUCUAUUCCUGGAGCAUGUUGGAUUCGUAUUGCAAAGUGAAGAGAAUCAACGUGGGAUUUUAUGGUAUAUCUACUACAUUGAUUCAAAGGAGACUCGAUACGAGUCUUUCUAGGAUUCAAAGAUUAUCAACGUAGGAUUCAGAAGAAAUUAUCACAGGAUUUCGAAGGAUUUAAAGAAGACUAUCAACGCGGGACUUCAUGAAAUUCAGAAGAUCGACUCAGGAUUUCGUGAGAUUCGGAAAAGGUUACUGAUGCGGGACUUCGUGGGAUUCAAAAAACUAUCAACGCGGGACUUUGUGGGAUUCGAAGAAAGACUAUCAACGUGGGACUUCGUGGGAUUCAAAGAAGACUAUCAACGCCGGACUGUGGGAUUCCAAGAAGACUAUCAACGUGGGACUUCGUGGGAUUUAAAGAAGAGUAUCGACGUGGGACUUCGUGGGAUUCAAAGAGGACUAUCGACGUGGGACUUCGUGGGAUUCAAAGAAGACUAUCGACGCGGGACUUCGUGGGAUUCAAAGAAAACUAUCAACGCCGGACUGUGGGAUUCAAAGAAGACUAUCAACGCUGGAUCGAAGGAUUCAAAGAAGACUAUCAACGUGGGACUUCGUGGGAUUCAAAGAAGACUAUCAACAUCGGACUGUGGGAUUCAAAGAAGAUUAUCAACGUGGGACUUCGUGGGAUUCAAAGAAGAUUAUGAACGCAGAACUUUGUGGGAUUCAAAGAAGAUCAUCAAUACGGUUUAAUGAAAUUUCAUGAUAAAUUAUUAAUGCGGGAUUUUAUAGGAUUGUAGGAAAGCGCCUUCGUAUUCAAAAAAAGACUUCGAUGAAAUUUGUAAUCCAAAAAACCGUCAUUGCCAGAUAUCAUGAAAUUCAAAAGGAAUAUUAAAAAAAGAUUUAAUGAAAUUUAAAUAUUAGCGAGAUAAAUUUUUAAAGAUAUAAAAAAUUAUUGAAAUUGGAAUUAGAAACAAAUCUCAAAUUCUGAUAUUUGAAACUUAUUACCAAAUACAAGUGUGUUACUUAAUGAAUUUUCUAAAGAAAGGAUCUGCUUAUUUCUAUUUUAUUCACAUAUUUAUGAUAUUGCUAUAUUAACUGAUUCAUAUGCUAUGAUAAUAUAUUCAACGAAAUUAGGAAACUAUGUGAAUGUGAAAUAGAAAUAAAAAUUAUGAUAAAUAGAUUUUUUUUUCGUAAUCGAUUAUCAAUCAUUCAAAUAUAGUUAUGUAUCUUUUUUAAUUUUUAUUAAUAAAAUUUUAGUAAUUGUUUUAUAUUUGUAAAAUAUAUGGAAAUUUUAUUCUUUCCAACUUUUAUUUUAUCAAGAUAUCACGAAUAAAACGUAAUAAGACAUAAAUAUUUAUUUUUCAAAAAAUGCUAUUGAUAAAUUUCUAUCUUAACAAAUCGAUAUUGCAUAUUAUGCGAGUCUAUACAAGUAAAAUAUUAAACAUGUAAAUUUUUUAUCUUGAAUAUCGUGAUAUCUUAUUUCCAAUAGCUUAAUUCAGAAAAGAAUUGCUUGGCAAUCGUGAAUCCAUAUUUUUUAACUAUUGGUAGAAUGUAAGAUGUUAAAUAUAUAAAUAUGUACAUACUGUAAAUUGAAAACUAAUUUGGAUUGUUACGGAAUUUAAAAAUAGUUUUAUUAUUAAAAAGUUUUUUUAAUUAAAAAUAUUUUUUAAAUUUCAUAUGUGAAAUAACUGCGAUAAUAAAAUAAAAAUAUUAAACAAAUUGAUUUAUAGAAAAUUAUAUUUCGCUGAUAAUAAAUUAAAAUAAUAGUUUCAAAUAUUAAUAAUAUUCAAUCGAGUAGAAUAAAUUUUUUAAUGGACUAUAUAUUUUGAAGUAUCUUUCACAUAAAAAAUUAGAAUUUUUGGUAUUUCAUAUAAUUUAAAAUAGAUAUAUGACAAGAUUUAUAUUUAAUUUAAUAAAAAUUUGAUGAAAUUCCUAGAUUUUAAAAAUAAUUUCUUUAAUAUAAUUCCACAUUUGUCAAUCAAUUAUAAAUAAAAAUAUAAAAUAAAUUAACAAAUUUUAACAAAUUAAUGAUCAAAUAAAAUUUUGAACUUUGAAACUUGUACAGCUCUAAAUCGCACUA